rnacentral:rRNA from 1 species
CACGUAGGGUGCGAGCGUUGUCCGGAAUUAUUGGGCGUAAAGAGCUUGUAGGCGGUUUGUCGCGUCUGCUGUGAAAUUUCGGGGCUCAACCCCGAACUUGCAGUGGGUACGGGCAGACUAGAGUGUGGUAGGGGAGACUGGAAUUCCUGGUGUAGCGGUGAAAUGCGCAGAUAUCAGGAGGAACACCGGUGGCGAAGGCGGGUCUCUGGGCCGAUGACUGACGCUGAGGAGCGAAAGCGUGGGGAGCGAACAGG